CCAAAGUUUACGCUUCUAAAUCAUAGCCUGUAAGGGUACCUCUAUCGAAAGGUGCCUAGAGUAGGCGCUACAACGCCGAAAUGACCUUCUCACCCUUGUGUUCUCACUAUGUUGCUUUGGCGGGUCGACCUGGUUCCGACCCAGGCGGCCGGCGCCCCCAGCCUUAACUGGCCAGGACGCCCGGCUAAGUGCCCGCCAGUAUACAAAACUCAAGAAUUCAUUUUGUGAAGUCCUGAUAUAUCAUUUAAUUGAUUAAAACUUUCAACAACGGAUCUCUUGGUUCUGGCAUCGAUGAAGAACGCAGCGAAAUGCGAUAAGUAAUGUGAAUUGCAGAAUUCAGUGAAUCAUCGAAUCUUUGAACGCACAUUGCGCCCUCUGGUAUUCCGGAGGGCAUGCCUGUUCGAGCGUCAUUUCAACCCUCAAGCUCUGCUUGGUAUUGGGCAACGUCCGCUGCCGGACGUGCCUUGAAGAACUCGGCGAGGGCGUCCUAGCCUCCAGCGUAGUAGUAAAAUAUCUCGCUUUGGAGUGCUGGGCGACGGCCGGCGGAAAUCGACCUUCGGUCUAUUUUCCCAAGUUGACCUCGGAUCAGGUAGGAUUCCCGGCUAACUUAAGCAUUCAAUAGCGGGGGAAA
rnacentral:rRNA from 1 species